CGUGGCUCGGAGGCGCUUUGGAGGCGUUGAUGGCAUCGCUGGGUUCGGUUUGCAGCGGGUGUCCGCUAAGGGAUACGGUGUUCUUCCUGAGUGGGCACGGUUCUCGGUGCCGGGUACUGAGAAAAUACGUCUCCCUUAGAGUACCGCGGAAAGGUUCUCAGUGCGCUCUCUAUCAAGUGCUAUGAGUCUUGAUAAAUUGGAGAAGAGCCCAAGAGAAAUUUUUCAUCCCUUGAUAUAAAAGGAUUUAUUGGUUCUGGAAGAACAAGAGGGAAGUACAAGCCUAACUACUUCUAGCUCACAGGCCCGUCCAGUGAACCCAGGGACCGGUGAAUUUUAACUUUGGAGUCCCCUAUGCUAAGGAUGCUCAGCUUACAGGUGAUGAAAUGUUCAGUAAUGUAUUUGCUGCAGCUCUGCUUACCCAAGCUUUGGGUUCCUUCUGUCCCACUGGGAGUUGCCCAGUUUGGUUGCAUCUGGUGAAAUUCACCCUGAGACCUUACAGAACUAGCUCCAACUACGUGAGAGCCAUUUGCAGUUCUCUCCAGACACCUGGAGAAUGGGUGACGUUUCUGAGGAUCCGGCGAGCGUGCUUCUAUCAAAACUCAGUCUGUGAAAUUCCUGGGGAAAACCCUUCUGUGUCCUGAAGGGUUCAAACUCUGGUGAGGAUCCAGUUAUCAGGGGCUCACCUGGAUGGUUCCAGCUGCCAAAGGGAAAGACUCUCGUAUCCUUGUCGUCGGGCUCGGUGCUGUCCAAGAAGAUACAGAGACUAAAAAAAUCAUAAGAAGCAAAAUAUGACUGCAGGGAAAAGAAGCUGGAGAGAACAGAAGACUCAUCACGGCGGGACAGCGUGAGGACUGAAAGUGUAAGAAGAUGUGGAGGGAAACAGAGAAUCUGACAGGAGCAGCGAACGCACGAGUGCAGGAAUUUUGCUUUUUGCUUGGAUGUAAACUCAGGAGUUGAGAGGAAUUUGGGAGUGAGAAGGGACAUUUCAGAAGGAGAAGAAGAAAAAGAGGUUGUUGUUGUUGUUACAGUCCUGGCAAAAUCUUUUGUUCUAGCUAAUAAAAGAAGUUAGUUUAAAAAACAAAAAGGAAAAAAUGUAGUGUUUUUUUUUUCCUUCACUAUGAUAUUCAUUGGUGGUAUAUGGUGUGUUGUUUUAUUUCUUGGUAUUAUUAACUCUGUGUAAAUUGUUUUUUGAGUGAAGCUGACUUUCUGGAUGGGUUGGUUUGUAUUUGAGGCAGGAUUAAUUUCAGUAGGGUUCUUUCAUAGAUUUCUGAUGGGUAUUACUGGGAUUUUGGUUUUGUUUACUGUAUGUAUAAACCUAGAGCUUUGGUAGGGCCAGCUGGGCUGCUGGAGUUUUGGGUGUGAAUUUAUUAGAUGGCUUUUGUUAGAUGCAGUUUUUAAUUUUUGAAAUGUUUUUCAAUGUAGUGGUUUUAAGGUGGUUUUUAAGAAUUCAUUGUAUUGCUUUAUCUUGUUUGUAGUUGGUGUAUGAUAAGGGAUGUGGUGUGAGUUCUUGAACAUUAUGGUUUUGGUGUUCCUAAGUUCUGAUUUCUUUGUGGUUCAAUAUUUUUUUUUAUUUUUAUUUUUUGGGACAGGGGCAUUUAUAUGGUGGGUUUUUAUAGGCAAUAUGUUUUUUAAUUUAGGUAGUGAUAUUUUUUAAUAUUUUAAUAGUUUAGGUUUUUUAUUUUCAUGGUUUUAAUUAUUUUUUUUAAUUUUUUGAAAUAACUUUUAUAGAUUACAUGUUAUUAUUUGUGCAUUAACAUAAAGGUAGAGCUUUGGGGACUUUUUUUAGUAAUGUUUAGGGUCAGUUGUGCAGUUUUGAGUCUAGUGCGUUGGUUUGAUUUAAUUUUUAAUGGGUGUUUGUUUUUAUUAGCAGUUGUGUCAUUUUCAAGGUGUGUUUGAGUUUUUUGGGGUUUUUGAGAUACUGGUUUAGGAGGAAGUUUAUGAUGAGCAUGUGCGGAGGUUUUGGGCUACUUUAUAGUGGGAUCUAAAAUUUAUUUACAGUUAGGUUUAUUUGAGUUUUUAUUAGGGUUCAGUGACGUUGUGGGAUAUUUGUUCCGUUAGUAACAGAAAU